GAUCUUCUUCACAGUAGUAGAAGAAGAAGAAGAAGAUCCAGUCUUAUUAUAAAUCUUCUUCAGUGAAGAAGACCCUUUGGACUCUUUCUUAUCUCUCUCUUUGGAGUUACCACCACACAACCACCUCGGAAGACGAGGGAAAGAGACUGCCAUCUUUUAGAAAGAAAAAAAACUCCGAACCUCCGGAGAAAAAACUCUUAUCAUCCAGCCAUAGAUCAAUAAUGAAUGGUGCCUUUUAUCUUCUCCGACCUAGAGAGAGAGAGAGAGAGAGAAGUCUGAGAUCGAACGAUGGGGAAGAAAGCCUAGAAUCGCGACGCUCUCUCUUUCUGGGACUCUCUGACUUUGGCCUGACUUUUGAAGAAGCUCCAUCGUCUGCUCCGCUUCAUUUAUACUACUCUCCUUUCCCGUUUCUAUUGGGCCCUCCCCUCCUGCCAAACCAAUAAAGAUCGAUCCGACGGUUGUUAGCGGUUUACUUGGUUCACUGGAAACUCUUUCUCUACUCUUCUACUGUAGACUUUACUACACAGGAUUUUUACUUAAUAACCAACAAAAGGCGGAAUAUUUUUACGGUUUCUUUUUUGUUUUCUUUUUUUGGGGUCAAAUAUUGCGGUUUGGUUUUAUACUACUAAUUAACCAACAGGUUUUUAUAUUUUAAAGUUUUCAACGAAUCAAUUUCCUUACUAGUACUAUUUAACAAAAUUUGUAUAAUGAUGAUCGGAAAUAAUGUAAGUUCAUGUAUUUCCCCCGAAAUCAAAAGCAUUUCUAGUUUUCUGAAUGGAAUUUUGUGUAAUUAUAGUGACUCUGCUUAAUACUCCCUCCGUUUUUUAUUAUAAGUCGUUUUGAAGCUAUGCACAUAGAUUAAGAAAAUCAUUAAUUUCUUAUAUUUUCGAAACAAAAACAUCAUUAAUUAUUUACCUAACCACAAUUUAACCAAUAGAAAAAUAGAAGAUAUAUUAUCAUUGGUCAGACAACAUUAAUUACUAAUAAAUGUUACAUAAAAAACCGAAAACGACAUAUAAUUUGGAACAAAAAAGUUUCUCUAAAACGACUUAUAUUAAAAAACGGAGGGAGUAAUACUCAUUGUGAAUUUAUGUGUAAUUAUUGAGUUAUACCAAACCCUUCCUUAUUUUUUCAAUUAUGGCGACCUUUAAAUCCGUGAGACAGUCGAUAGACAUGUCCAGAUACAUACCUAAGCAGAAAAAAAAUGGAAUUCAAUUUAUCAAAAUGCAUAGCUAACAGGAAAAAGAUAAUUCCAAGAUAAUUAGUGCAUUAAUCAGAAUCUGAAUAUAUCACAAAUAGCAUAUUCUAUACACUUGUCAGUAUCGUCCGCUAAAAAUUAAGGCUUAUCCACUCGAGUCAUUUAUUAUUUUUUCCUCAAAUUACUGAUUUAUCCUUGUCGUCACCAGCAUUGCAUUAUUACUAAUAAUAAAAGCUCGUAUGGUGUUACACUAGAUAUGAAAUAUAACAUAUUUAUUGUAAAAUAAUCAUGACUUGUACUUAUGAACUAUCAUAAUGUAACUAUUUUUAUUAAGCCUCAAAACAGAACCAAACCAGCCUCUCAUCAAGAACCGAGCUUUUUAUUAUCAGAAAACAAUCUAAAGGACUUAUUCUAAUCAGACAUGGCACAUACAAUCAGGAGCCGGAUAAGUAUAAAUGGACUGUUUCGGCUUCCUUAACCGGAUCUGUCCUUGUCUGUUCACGUGCCCUUCACCAAGUGCUUGU